CCUGGCUCAGUUCACCAUCCAUGAUAAAAUUCAGCUGUCCCAAAUGAGUGAUCAAAUCAAUCAUCUUUAGGACAUGCAUUUGCACGGAGGUACCUUCAGUCAUGCGGGCAUGGAACAAUUGCUUUGAUAUCUCAUAUGGAGCAAUUUGACUUUAUUUCCUGUAUAACUUUUUAAGAUUAAGAAGAAUAGAGGGAAUGUCCAUGUCCUU
rnacentral:lncRNA from 1 species